UAUACUCAGUAACUAGAUGGACUCACUUUGA
rnacentral:piRNA from 1 species